AUUAAAAAAAAAAAAACCAAAAUUAGUCGAGCGCUGUAAUAUUAAAAAAAAAAUUGCACCCAGCUUUCUAAAACCUUCGUCAUUCGCAAAAAAAUAUAUAUAUGUAUAUGACGCCUAAGUAAACCUUGAAAAGCGAAUGAAGUGGGUAUUUUUAGCUUUAUUUUCAGAUAACCAACCGGCCCAUCGGGACCUCUUCGGUCGCAUGAUAAAUCCAAGCCUGUUAAGGACUUCUUCGAUAAGCUUAAACAUUUAACAGUGAGAAAUACAGCACGACGGCAUUGAGCGCGUGGAUACUACGGGGCCAUAAGUAACGCGAUCGCCCAAAAGUUGGCACGAAAAAGAUUCUGAGUUGUAUUUAUGGGACCGAGAUGUUUUUGUGGUCUCAGUUGGUCUUCUUAGAAAGAAAUAAUCACUAAUUAGUGUGUAAACUUAGAAGGAAGUACAUAAGUGCGGUAAAGCACUAAGACCGCCUAUCAGACCACACUCUUCGCUCAUAUUUUUAAUAGGAAGGUUAUUAGUCCCCUAAAUAGAGCAGAUCACGGAAUACUCUUUGGAAAAGGAAUUUAAAAUAGGGCUUUGCAACAAAUCAACUUGAGAUAUCCUUGGUUGGUUUAAGUGGAUUUUCCUGGUGACAAGCAGUUAGCAACUUUGCCAUUUUGAUUCCACAACUCGGGCAACCUACAGCCAUUUGGCGGCUAAAAUGAAUUUCAGUACGUCAUACGGAGAGAGGUAGCUGUACUCUGAAAUAAUCUGCAGGUAUGGUUUGCCGAGUGUCUUCAGCCACAUUCCCGCGAGAGCUGGACACUCGCCCAGAAAGUGUUCGACAGAACUUAUUGAAGGGCAAUCCAAUCCUUUCAGCAUGUACCUAAACGGGUCAGUGCUCUGUGUACACUGCAGUAAAUUUGUUAGUACAUACAUCAAUAUUAUGUUCGCUUAAGUACCCGCAUCGAGGUACAUUUUUCAUGAGGUACUUAAGCGGGGUUUGCUGUAUCUUCUUUGCUCAUUCCUAAAAGAGCUUUGGGUUUAGGUAGUUCCACCUCUGCUUGGUCCUCGAGUGGUAAAGUACGAAAAUAAAAACGGCUCUAAGCUAAGACGAUGGCGUUGGUUUCCAAAUCUACUAGAUAAGGUUGUAGAAAUUCCCGAGCAUUUUUAAGCCGAAGCUCUACGCCAUUAGUCUAAGUGCUAAGUAUAACUUACGUAGAAUUUAAUGAGUGCAUUUUAGUCUUUAGCAACAGCCAGACUAAAGGCUUUCUUAUCUUUUAAUUAGGCAAACCAAACAACUUUGACAAUUGCCUCUUUCCUUGGCAUAUUUGCGCCAGUUGUUCAUCCCAAGUGCAUUUGGUCCUUCCAUUUUUUGUGGUAGCUCUUAUUAUUUACGCUUUGAACCAUUAAAUUGAAAAAGUAGCUCGAGAGUGAAACGUCUUGUCUAAAACAUCAUUACGGUCUCAAACGAAGAGGAGAAAUCAUUCCCAAUUUGCACGGAGCUGAGGUUGCGCUCAACGUACACUAAAUAGCUGUAUU